rnacentral:lncRNA from 1 species
ACAAAACCCCACAGCUCCUGAGAAUUCUCUCGCCUGCCUUUGGCCCUUAGGCUCUGGUAGAUUGCAAAUAACAUGCUUUCUUUCUGUUCCCGGGUGGCUUCGGACCCCUGUCGGAUCGGAAAUCCCAAGGAGGCGUCGGACCCCGUCCGAUAGUAAAUCCCAAGUAAGGUACCUGCCGUCGGCAGAUUUGAGCUUUCUGCCUGGACACCUAAUACCCACAGUCCUCCAGGUGGGUCCUAAGGUUCUUAGGAUCCACGAUGGGUGUCCUAAGCCAGCGGGGGAAGAGUGGCUGGCUCUCAGUCCCCACCUCGCGGGUGGUGCCUCCCGCCUCUGAGAUGGUGGUCCUAAGAGCCAGGUGGUGAAGAGGGGCUGGAACUCAGUCCCCGCCUCGUGGGGGCUGCCUCGCCCCGCUGCCAUGGGUUUCCGAAGAGCCAGGGGUGGAAGACGGGCUGGCUCUCAGUCCCCGCCUCGCGGGGGUGCCCUCCCCAGGUGCGAUGGGGGUCCUAAGAGCCAGGGGGUGAAGAAGGGCUGUCUCUCUGUCCCCUCGUUGCAGGGUUUGCAUCCCCCCUCUUGAGAUGGCCGUCCCAAGAGCCAAGGGGGGAAAGGGGCUGGCUCUCAGUCCCCGCUUCGCGGGGGUGCCUCCCCCACUGCGAUGGGGGUCCCAAGAUUCGGGGGGGAAGAGGGCCUGGCUGUCAGUACCCGCCUCGCGGGGGGUGCCUUCCCACCCUGCGAUGGGGGUCCCAAGUGUCAGGGGGGGAAUACGGGCUGGCUCUCAAUCCUCGGCUCGCGGGGGCUGCCUCCCCCUACUGCGAUGGGGGUCCUAAGAGCCAGGGGGGAAGAGGGGCUGGUUCUCAGUCCCUGCCUCAUGGGCGGUGCCUCCCGCUCUGCGAUGGGGGUCCUAAGAGCCAGCGGGGGAAGAGGUGCUGGCUCUCAGUUCCUGCCUGGCGGGGGGUGCCUCCCCCCCUCUGCGGUGGGUGUCCUAAGAGCCAGGGGGGGAAGAGGGGCUGGCUGUCAGUCCCCGCCUCGCGGGGUGUGCCUCCCGCCCCUGCGAUGGUGAUCCCAAGAGUCUGGGGGGGAAGAGGGGGCUGUCAGUCCCCGCCUCGCGGGGGUGCCUCCCUCAGGUGCGAUGUGGGUCCUAAGAGCCAGGGGUGAAGAGGGGCUGGCUCUCUGUCCUCUCGUCGCGGGGGUUGCAUCCCCCCCUGCGAUGGGGUUCCCAAGAACCAAGGGGGGAUGAGGGGCUGGCUCUCAGUCCCCGCCUCGUGGGGGUGCCUCCCCCCCUGGGAUGGGGGUCCCAAGAGCCAGGGGGGGAAGAGGGGCUGGCUCUCAGUCCCCGCCUCGCGGAGGGUGCCUCCCCCCCAACGCGAUGGGGGUCCCAAGAGCCAGUGGGGGAAGAGGGGCUGGCUCUCAGCCACCACAAAACGGGGGGCCUUUAUGUUCAGGUUUUGCCCAAGAGUCAGCUUAUUUUCUUCUUGUACUAGCAGGGCAGUUGCUGCCAAGGCCCCCAAACAGGGUGCCAUCCUUUAGAAACCCUGUCUAGUUGUUUAGAGACGUAGGCCACCGGCCUCUUCCAGGGCCCCACAGUUUGGGUUAAAAGUCCACCCGCCAUCUUGUCUCUCUCUGACGUGUACAAUCUAAAAGGCUUUGUCAGAUUGGGUAGCCCCAGGGCUGAAGCUGCCAGAAGUUUUUCCUUUAACUCAUGAAAGACUUGCUGUUGUUGGGAUCCCCAUUCCAAAGGUUCCCGGUCCCCGCCCCCUUUGUGACCUCAUACAAAGGCUUGGCUUAUACUGCAAAGUUUGGGAUCCACAGUCUACAAAACCCCACAGCUCCUGAGAAUUCUCUCGCCUGCUUUCGACCCUUAGGCUCUGGUAGAUUGCAAAUAACCUGCUUUCUUUCUGUUCCCGGGCGGCGUGGGACCCCUGUCGGAUAGUCAAUCCCAAUUAAGGUACCCGCCGUCGGCAGAUUUGAGCUUUCUUCUUGGACACCUAAUACCCACAGUCCUCCAGGCUCUGGUAGAUUGCAAAUGACCUGCUUACUUUCUGUUCCCGGGCUGCGUUCUGACACCUGUUGGACAGUAAAUCCCAAGUAAGGUACCUGCCUUCGGCAGAUUUGAGCUUUCUUCUUGGACACCUAUACCCACAGUCCUCCAGGAGGGUCCUAAGGAUAACUUCAGGAAGUGGGUAUUAAUUCUCACUGUAUAAGUGAAGACAUUAAGCACCAGAGUUUAAGUAGCUUGAUCCACUGAAAGAGAUUCAACUGUGUGGAACCUAUGCCGCGGAGAAUUGCUUUCUGCCAUUGUUAUUGUCCAGCAGUUGCCGAAUAGCUCUGACCUGAGCAAAGCAGUGAAACGCGGUGCUGUUGAGUGGGUUGCCACUGCACCUUUUUCAACUACUCUAGUCUUGUGGAGAAAACACCCCUUCUAAAUUUUUUCUUCAUUGAAUACUCUCCCUCAGCUCCAGGGUACCAUAUAGAGUUUUCUUGUAUUUUAGAGUUACUGUUUUAUCAAAGUGUACCAGUCUUUUGUAUUACAUUUCUCCUGUCU